UACGGAGGGUGCGAACGUUAAUCGGAAUUACUGGGCGUAAAGCGCACGUAGGCGGUCCGUUAAGUGGGGUGUGAAAGCCCCGGGCUCAACCUGGGAAUUGCAUUCCAAACUGACGGGCUAGAGUACGAUAGAGGGAGGUAGAAUUUCCUGUGUAGCUGUGAAAUGCGUAUAUAUAGGAAGGAAUACCUGUGGCGAAGGCGGCCUCCUUGAUCGAUACUGACGCUGAGGUGCGAAAGCGUGAGAAGCAAACAGG
rnacentral:rRNA from 1 species